AUGACCCGCUCGCCAUUGGCCUCGGCGAUUAAGACGAACGUACGUAGUUCUCCCAAAGAGAAUACGCAGGAUUAAUACUGGCAUCCUACCCGAGGAGGAUGGCCGUACAUACCCUACUUAUGUAAGAUAUGUAGAUUCCGUUUUAAUUCUUUAACCCAUUCCCAAACCACCGGGAAUCCCAUGCCUUAGAAAGUGUGUGAACUCACCUUGGUUUGCUCGGUUAGAUUCUCAAUAUAGCUAACAGUCAAGGUCGGUCAAUCACGUCCUAAUAUAAUUUACCAGUUAGUCAUUUAGUGGCUUUCAAAUAGAACACAAAGUUCCUACAUGUAUCUAUCACACAACAUGCAUCGUUUUAACGGUUUAUGCCCCUCUAAGUUUCCCAUCCAUUCCCCACUCAAAAUCAAACAUACGAUAAUGCACAUAACAUAUAUAACAUGUUAGAUCAUUCACGGAUAGCAUACUCGACAUUUAGACACGCAAGGUCACAAUUUAUAUCAAUUCAGCAUUAAUAUUCAAAACCGGCAGUUUUCGGUCGUUUUAAUAAAAUAGUUAAAUUAUUCCAAAAAUUCCCAAAUUUUUACAAGAUGUCUUAAACGU
rnacentral:lncRNA from 1 species